AUUCGAAAAGUAGUAUCAAGUCACGAUUGUAUUAGAAAGUAAUUCAAUUAAUUGAGCGGUAGACGUCCGAUUAUUGCUGAUAAAGUUCUGAAAAAAUGAGCGGAUCGGAUUCUGGUAAGGAGGAAUCCAUUGAUUCAAAACCACCGACCGCAGUUCCGAGCCUCGAUUCGGGGGAAGAAUGUUUGCUUGACCUUGCGUUGAAAGAAGAUUCUGUUCAAAAAGCACUGGAUAUGGUCGUGUCCUGCUUCCCAUUAACUAGUAAACCAAUUCCUGAAGUACCCGUAUCGCCAAGGCAGCAAGAGCCAACAGCCUCACCAGCUUCAUUAAGUCCCAAGCCGGGCCCGUCACGGUUGUUAACAGAUGCCGAGGUCCAGCGCAAACGCAAAUUCUAUGAAACCGAUUUUUCUAUUGAAGAAAUAGACUUCAUAAAUAUCAUGAUCGAAGAGAGAAGAAAAAAGAACAAGGUAUUCAUAAAAUUUAAUCAUUUUAAUAUUAGGAAAUAACUUAAAACGAGGUGAUCUUCACAAACAGUUUUGACAUGCAUUUACUAGGCCCCAUCUUUUGGAUGGGUUAGAUCCCUUGACUGACCGACUAAUUUUCUCAAGAAGAUUUUUGUACUUAUAUGAGAAAUUCCAGCAUUUGACCAUAUACUGGCUCAUACGUAUUGUCAGUACUUAAUAGGCAUCAAUGCUUUGCUGAAAAGUAUACAUUUUGGUGAUUUUUAAAUACUGUCUUUUGAUGAUAUUGUAGAGAGAGAUUGUAUGUCUAUCUACAAUAAAACACUAGAUGUGUCUUCGGCCGAAGCCGGGAAUGGAAUGAAUUGUAUUUCGAAUGAACUCAAAUCAAUUCAAUGGCAAUCUUUGAUGAAUGCAUAUUGUGGAAUCACCACAAUACUUCCCCCGUUGGAAAAACUUUGAACGGUCCGUUUUGAUUCUGAUGGUCUGGUUCAAUUCACUCGUGAGCAUGAACAUUUGUUUUGAGGGUUGAGCAGGAUUUUCCAUGGUAUUGUGGUUGCAGCAGCUAACGUCUAAUGCUGGCAGGCACCGCAGUAGGGUGGUUUGAUUGUUGAGUGCUCCAAAUCGUAUGGGUCCAAAACGAUGCAUGUGACGAAUGUUUAUUUGUUUAUUCCCACAGACUCAAGAAGUUGCUUUAAGCAAGUUCAAGUUUGAAAGAGAAUAUAUUUGAAUUUUAAAGAAAUUCCCUUUAAGUUUUUAGCUAGUAUUGAUGUGUUGUCAGGACUAGGAAAAUACAUAAUUUUAAUCUUGAUUAGUGAGUUGACUGUAAUUUAAGAGUCUUCACGUAAAUGGACUAAGAUAUUGGAAUAUUAGUCGAUUUGUAAUCUAGUUUUCAGUAUGAUGAAAAGUAGGUUGACAAGAAUUUAGGGUGUUUGAAAUUUUGAUUUUAUUGGAAAAUUAAUUUGCAAUACAGUUUGUGUAGAGUGAUACGUAGUUCAGUCAGUUCAGUCUACGAAUUGUUCUUGAGUUGUUGUUUAAAAUGGUUUAACAGUUUUGAUAUAAUUUGACUGAUCUGCAAUUUCGUCGAGGUUUUAGCCUCGAUGCAGACUAGAGUGAAUUGACUUAAAGGGUGAAUCCACUGUAGGUUUUGGAUUUUUUUUAGUUUGUGGAAAGAGAUGUAAAUGUUUCCAAGUUGUACUGCUCUGAGCAAGGCUCUGAGUUGCAUAGAAGACACGUCUAUGUGCGAAAUAAAAGGAAUGCAGUAAAAUACAUUUUAUUUCGACUGAUAUCGUGAUGUUGGAUCCGGGUUGUGUGAUAUCAGAUUCUUGUUGUUUGGCAACACUUUAGAGAAUUUCUUUAGUGGUGACAAAGGUCUUUGUACAAGUUUCUGAGACUUGUAGAAUGUUAAAUCAUUUCUGAUUUAAAUGAACAAUCGGAUGAUAGGAUUGUUGGUUGUCAAGUGUACGAUUACGUCCGUAACUUGAGUUCAAAAACUAUUGGCUAUUCCUUUGUAGCAGUUCUGUGUCGAAACUGGUAAGGAUUAGUGAGCAAUAUUUUUGAAUGGAAAAGAAAUGUCUAGUCAAACAUGUCUAGUCAUAUAGAAUUCUUUUAAAAAAAUCCUCUACAAAAUUUAUUGUCCUGCGCAACGUGACGGGGUAUAAGUUCUAACAGUACGUCGUUAGUGACUUUCCGAAAUAAUGUUUAACAGAGUGAAAUUAAGUAGAGUAGCAGAGUGAUCAAAUGUUAUGAUAGCACCCGUCCUCGUUAGAAAACAAUUGCCGACUAGUAUUUGACUAGCGAUUUUGACUAAAAGCUCUAUACCUUAACUUUCCAUGAAUGACGCAAAUCUUUUAUGUUUGGUGAUUCGAAUUCGAAAGGUUGAUUUGGUUGAGGUUUUUGUUUGCUAAAGUAGUACUGAAAUUUUGAAAAGGAACUACAUAAAGUUCGUUUGAAUAAAUUUUGAAAAUUUUACUGAAAUGAUCUGAUUGAACUCCGAAUGAGUCGUUCCUACACAGCAUUACCUGGAACUAGCGGAACUAGACAACCAAUUUAUUCAGUGAGUCGAAUAAAUUGGGGAAGGCAACCAAAUACUUUAGUUUUAAAAUUUUAAAUACAUUCUGAACGAAAUGUAGUUGUAGAAAACAAUGUGCAAGUAUUUUGCAGAUUUAAAAUUUAUAUGAAGAUUGACUUGUGGAACUGUACGCGUGUAGUAAGGGUACUAGAGGCGCAGUGACAACUUUUGUGUUGGUCUGAAUUGCUUAAUCAUAACUUAAAGAUAAAACUUAAGUCUAAAUUUACUUUCGUGCUUAUCGUUGAGUUUUUUCUUAAAAAACGAUUUAAAUUUUGAGUUGUCAACAUUCAAGUGAUCUACUUUGGGUCACAGCAAAGUGAUUUGAGUGUAGAGUGAAUGUGAUGUACGUCAUGUCUUAGACUAAGUGAUUUGCACGUAGUCAGGUAGCGACGUUGAGAUACUUCUGGUUAGACAAAAUUCUGACAGCUAAGUGUACGUGUAAGUCUGGUUGCGAAGUAUGUUUGGUGUUGAGAGUAAAAGUGUGAAUGUGUUGAAUCACUUUGCUUUUAGUCCAUUAACAUUUAUUUGGUUGGUUCAGGGCAAUAUAUUGAUAUUGUUGACCAAAAGUUGUAAAUUUUAUUUGUUUUUGCAAAUAAAACUUAGUUGUGCCAUGUGUGACGACUGUGGUUCCUUUUUUUUUUUAAAAAAAAGCGAAUCCAUGCAGUCCAUGUUGAAACAUGCAAAUUAUAACCUUGCUGAUUAGCUAAAGUGUUUAAUAAUUUGGUCGUGGUAUGGGCUUAAUUUGUGUAAAGGAAUGUUCCUUUAAACAAUACCAAUAAUUUUACCAUGUUGGAAUGUUCAAGAUGGUUAAAAUGUUAACAGACAAGUGAAAUUUAUUUUGAGGCAAUAAACCUGAAAAUUAAAGUUCAUGUUGGUUAAGUGAUUGCCGGACUUGAAAUUUGUUCAAUGUCGGGGUCACCAAUUUGUAGAGAGAGAUUGUAUGUCUAUCUACAAUAAAACACUAGAUGUGUCUUCGGCCGAAGCCGGGAAUGGAAUGAAUUGUAUUUCGAAUGAACUCUGUAUAUAAAGGGAAUGCAAAGGCAACAUGAUGCAAAUCAAUUCAAUGGCAAUCUUUGAUGAAUGCAUAUUGUGGAAUCACCACAAUAUCUUUCCACCAGAAUCAUUUUUCAAGUACGUACGACCGCAAUAACGACCACGAAUGUGUUAGCUUUCAA